AACAGGAUUAGAUACCCUGGUAGUCCACGCUGUAAACGAUGUCGACUUGGAGGUUGUGCCCUUGAGGCGUGGCUUCCGGAGCUAACGCGUUAAGUCGACCGCCUGGGGAGUACGGCCGCAAGGUUAAAACUCAAAUGAAUUGACGGGGGCCCGCACAAGCGGUGGAGCAUGUGGUUUAAUUCGAUGCAACGCGAAGAACCUUACCUACCCUUGACAUCCAGAGAAUUUGCUAGAGAUAGCUUAGUGCCUUCGGGAACUCUGAGACAGGUGCUGCAUGGCUGUCGUCAGCUCGUGUUGUGAAAUGUUGGGUUAAGUCCCGCAACGAGCGCAACCCUUAUCCUUUGUUGCCAGCACGUAAUGGUGGGAACUCAAAGGAGACUGCCGGUGAUAAACCGGAGGAAGGUGGGGAUGACGUCAAGUCAUCAUGGCCCUUACGAGUAGGGCUACACACGUGCUACAAUGGCAUAUACAAAGAGAAGCGAACUCGCGAGAGCAAGCGGACCUCAUAAAGUAUGCCGUAGUCCGGAUUGGAGUCUGCAACUCGACUCCAUGAAGUCGGAAUCGCUAGUAAUCGUAGAUCAGAAUGCUACGGUGAAUACGUUCCCGGGCCUUGUACACACCGCCCGUCACACCAUGGGAGUGGGUUGCAAAAGAAGUAGGUAGCUUAACCUUCGGGAGGGCGCUUACCACUUUGUGAUUCAUGACUGGGGUGAAGUCGUAACAAGGUAACC
rnacentral:rRNA from 1 species